GACGAACGCUGGCGGCGUGCUUAACACAUGCAAGUCGAACGGAAAGGCCCAGCUUGCUGGGUACUCGAGUGGCGAACGGUGAGUAACACGUGGGUGAUCUGCCCCCAACUUCGGGAUAAGCCUGGGAAACUGGGUCUAAUACCGGAUAUGACCUGCUCCUGCAUGGGGGUUGGUGGAAAGCUUUUGCGGUUUGGGAUGGGCCCGCGGCCUAUCAGCUUGUUGGUGGGGUAAUGGCCUACCAAGGCGACGACGGGUAGCCGACCUGAGAGGGUGAUCGGCCACACUGGGACUGAGACACGGCCCAGACUCCUACGGGAGGCAGCAGUGGGGAAUAUUGCACAAUGGGCGCAAGCCUGAUGCAGCGACGCCGCGUGAGGGAUGACGGCC
rnacentral:rRNA from 1 species